GAUGAACGCUGUCUACAGGCUUAACACAUGCAAGUCGAGGGGAAACGACGGGGAAGCUUGCUUCCCCGGGCGUCGACCGGCGCACGGGUGAGUAACGCGUAUCCAACCUGCCUCUGACUGAGGGAUAACCCGUCGAAAGUCGGCCUAAUACCUCAUGGCAUCGUCUGCGGGCAUCCAACGACGAUUAAAGAUUUCAUCGGUCAGGGAUGGGGAUGCGUCUGAUUAGCUUGUUGGCGGGGUAACGGCCCACCAAGGCUACGAUCAGUAGGGGUUCUGAGAGGAAGGUUCCCCACAUUGGAACUGAGACACGGUCCAAACUCCUACGGGAGGCAGCAGUGAGGAAUAUUGGUCAAUGGGCGGGAGCCUGAACCAGCCAAGUAGCGUGCAGGAUGACGGCCCUAUGGGUUGUAAACUGCUUUUAUGCGGGGAUAAAGUGAGGGACGUGUCCUUCAUUGCAGGUACCGCAUGAAUAAGGACCGGCUAAUUCCGUG
rnacentral:rRNA from 1 species